AGUGUGCUAAUAUCUAGCUUUG
rnacentral:miRNA from 10 species